rnacentral:lncRNA from 1 species
CUAUCAUAAUCAUUGGUGACGCAAGACUAAAAUUGAAAAUAAGAGUAAACACAGAUGAAUAGAGUGACAAAAUAAAUAAGUUAGAGAUGUGUAACCUUUAAAAGAUCAACCUAUAUCAUAAAUCACUUGAUCUGUACAUUUGAUAGAUAAGAAAAAAAAUUACUCAUAAAAGAUAGUAAAAAAAGGAAAAUAUGACAAUUUUUCAGCAGUUCGUAUUUUUAUACACUUUGUAUUUUGUUUAUACAAUCAUAAAGUGAUGAUGAACCAGAGAUCUCUAUUAAAUAAUUUAAACUAAAUAUUUCUAUUAAGUACAUCCUUAAUUAUAAAAAUCAAUCAAACAUGUAAUGAGUAACAAACCUUGACAUUAAUUAGUUUAGAAAGAUAUGUAUUGAACAUCAAAAUUAAUUAAAUAUAUACUUAUAUCCUAAAGAACAUAAAUUCAUAUUCUAUGUUCUGAUAAAUAAAAUAUUAACAUAAGUUAUAUAGAUUAAAAAAUAUGCUAAAAUACUAAUUAUAAGUAGAAAAUGAAAAAGAAAAAAAGA